UACGUAGGUGGCAAGCGAUACUCGGAAUCACUAGGCGUAAAGCGCAGGUAGGCGGUUUGGUAAGUCUUUUGUGAAAGCUCCCGGCUUAACUGGGAGAGGUCAAGGGAACUACCGGACUAGAGUGUGGUAGGGGAUACGUGGAAUUCCGUAGGUGUAGCGGUGAAAUGCGCAGAUAUCAGGAAGAACACCCGUGGCGAAGGCGGUUCUCUGGGACGGUACUGACGA
rnacentral:rRNA from 1 species